AUCGCUCGCUAGGGGUCUUCGUAACGAAGUGAGAAACACCCUUUGAACCUGUACGGGUAAUGCCGUCGUAGGGAAGCAUCCCCCGAUGCUC
rnacentral:ncRNA from 2 species